AUUUCUCACAACGAACUUCGCUCCGCUGUACUGAGCAGUUUGUUUAUUCGCAGUUUAACUAAUGUUUGAUUUCUUUUGUUUCAGUUCCCACUGACUGGGCCAUAAGACAAUUCGGAGGGGGCAUUUGCAUCGCCCAUUAUUGGAAUCAAACACCGCAACCGGAGUUGAGCUGCAGAUCACAAGUCUGAAUGGUGGUACACGGUGGUACAAGACCAAUUUUUGGUGCACACAUGAAUCU